rnacentral:rRNA from 1 species
CCCGCACAAGCGGUGGAGCAUGUGGUUAAUUCGAAGCAACGCGAAGAACCUUACCAGGUCUUGACACCCGAUGCUAUUUCUAGAGAUAGAAAGUUACUUCGGUACAUCGGUGACAGGUGGUGCAUGGUUGUCGUCAGCUCGUGUCGUGAGAUGUUGGGUUAAGUCCCGCAACGAGCGCAACCCCUAUUGUUAGUUGCCAUCAUUCAGUUGGGCACUCUAGCGAGACUGCCGGUAAUAAACCGGAGGAAGGUGGGGAUGACGUCAAAUCAUCAUGCCCCUUAUGACCUGGGCUACACACGUGCUACAAUGGUUGGUACAACGAGUUGCGAGUCGGUGACGGCGAGCUAAUCUCUUAAAGCCAAUCUCAGUUCGGAUUGUAGGCUGCAACUCGCCUACAUGAAGUCGGAAUCGCUAGUAAUCGCGGAUCAGCACGCCGCGGUGAAUACGUUCCCGGGCCUU